UGGCAGGAUCAACCAGGUAGCAUUCUAUGUCGACAUUGGCACUGCAUGGAUGAAUCCAAAACAACACCAAAUGUCGUUCGCAUAUAGCGUGUGACGCUAUUUUAGGGGCAAAAUAGAGACCGAUGAUGCCUCGUACCCACGAGGUACUCCAUGACCAAGAGAACGAGCACCGUGCCAUUGGUCCAACGACCCAAGAAUAUUAUUUUAGCCAUGGGGGUUGGAGCAUGACAUUUGCUUCGAAGUUCACCUCGUACCACGAACCCAAGGGCUCGCAGCGAGAGGCGAAAGGGUCCAUUAAUCCGACGAAUUCCCACGCUUUGGGUAUAGAACACAGGAAACCAAGCUUGGCCAAGAUGUUUUUCCAACUCUUGAACCAAUCUCUGAAGAGGCAUGCCGGAUACAUUUUCGU
rnacentral:misc_RNA from 1 species